AUACUUACCUGGUACGGGAGGCACCCUGAUCCGCUAGGUGGUCUACCUCCAGGGCGAGUGCCUCCACCAUUGCGACGCUCGGAUGGGGCGGCCCCUGCGAUCGCCCCCAAAUGUGGGCGACUCGCGUAACGAAAUUUUUUAGUUUGGGGUUCUUGCGUUCGCGCUAACCCCCG